CGCCUACGGGGGGCAGCAGUGAGGAAUAUUGGUCAAUGGACGAGAGUCUGAACCAGCCAAGUAGCGUGAAGGAUGACUGCCCUAUGGGUUGUAAACUUCUUUUGUCGGAGAACAAAACCCGGGACGUGUCCCGGACUGCGUGUAUCCGAAGAAAAAGCAUCGGCUAACUCCGUGCCAGCAGCCGCGGUAAUACGGAGGAUGCGAGCGUUAUCCGGAUUUAUUGGGUUUAAAGGGUGCGUAGGCGGUCCGUGAAGUCAGCGGUAAAAUUGCGGGGCUCAACCCCGUCGAGCCGUUGAAACUGGCAG
rnacentral:rRNA from 1 species